rnacentral:rRNA from 1 species
GGAGGAAAAGAAACCAACAGGGAUUGCCUUAGUAGCGGCGAGUGAAGCGGCAAAAGCUCAAAUUUGAAAUCUGGCACUUUCAGUGUCCGAGUUGUAAUUUGAAGAAGGUAUCUUUGGGUCUGGCUCUUGUCUAUGUUUCUUGGAACAGAACGUCACAGAGGGUGAGAAUCCCGUGCGAUGAGAUGUCCCAGACCUAUGUAAAGUUCCUUCGAAGAGUCGAGUUGUUUGGGAAUGCAGCUCUAAGUGGGUGGUAAAUUCCAUCUAAAGCUAAAUAUUGGCGAGAGACCGAUAGCGAACAAGUACAGUGAUGGAAAGAUGAAAAGAACUUUGAAAAGAGAGUGAAAAAGUACGUGAAAUUGUUGAAAGGGAAGGGCUUGAGAUCAGACUUGGUAUUUUGUAUGUUACUCUCUCGGGGGUGGCCUCUACAGUUUACCGGGCCAGCAUCAGUUUGGGCGGUAGGACAAUUGCAAAGAAAUGUGGCACUGCCUCGGUAGUGUGUUAUAGUCUUUGUCGAUACUGCCAGCCUAGACUGAGGACUGCGGCUUCGGCCUAGGAUGUUGGCAUAAUGAUCUUAAGUCGCCCGU